rnacentral:misc_RNA from 1 species
GAUGAAGAACGUAGCGAAAUGCGAUAAGUAAUGUGAAUUGCAGAAUUCAGUGAAUCAUCGAAUCUUUGAACGCACAUUGCGCCCGCCAGUAUUCUGGCGGGCAUGCCUGUUCGAGCGUCAUUUCAACCAUCAAGCCCCCGGCUUGUGUUGGGGACCUGCGGCUGCCGCAGGCCCUGAAAAGCAGUGGCGGGCUCGCUGUCACACCGAGCGUAGUAGCAUACAUCUCGCUCUGGGCGUGCUGCGGGUUCCGGCCGUUAAACCACCUUCAUAACCCAAGGUUGACCUCGGAUCAGGUAGGAAGACCCGCUGAACUUAAGCAUAUCAAUAAGCGGGGA